rnacentral:rRNA from 1 species
UACGGAGGAUCCAAGCGUUAUCCGGAUUCACUGGGUUUAAAGGGUGCGUAGGUGGAAUGACAAGUCAGUGGGGAAAACCUGCAGCUUAACUGUAGAACUGCCAUUGAUACUGUUAUUCUUGAGUACAUUUGAUGUGAGUGGAAUGUGUCGUGUAGCGGUGAAAUGCUUAGAUAUGACACAGAACACCAAUUGCGAAGGCAGCUCACAAAACUGUAACUGACACUGAGGCACGAAAGCGUGGGGAUCAAACAGG